CCCUAGGGCUCGUCCAGCACCUCAGCUGGACCUCCAGACAUGAUUACAUGAUCCAUGGCAGGCAGAGGAGCUCAGACUCAGACGGAGCAUUCGAAACCCCUGAGUCCACCACCCCUGUGAAGUCUGCUUCCCCACCAGUGCCCUCAACAGAGCCCCCCUGCACCAAAUCAGAGGGAUUGUCCCCAGAACACACAGGUACGUUUAGAUCUUCAUUCCAUUGCAAUUCACACCACAGAUUGUCUUAUGUGGAG
rnacentral:lncRNA from 1 species